AAGCAGCCAUUAUUUUUAAUUUGCUUGUAGGCUUCCAUAGCAUAGAGACGGCUCUGAUGGUUUAGCAAUAUAUCAAGUGGUGCUUUUAAGAAGGUGGUUUUUUUUGUCUUUCUAAUAAUCAAAGAUAUGUGCAUAGGAUACUCUUUGGACUGAAUUUUUGAGACUGUUAUCGUCCGAUGAUUGGGGACAUAUCUCAUAAAGACAAAUAUACCAUUUCACUAAUAAAAAUAAAUUUAAAAACAAAACAAAAAGAGAGUAAGAAACUCAGAAGGUUCAAGAGAUGAAGCUAGAUAGUAUUUUUGUCGAGAGAUGAAAACUAGUCUUGGCAAGUGUGGUCAAGCGAGCUUGAUUUCGACUAGAGGUUUUGGUUUAAGGUUUAAAGUUCAAGGUAGAGAAUUCCGACCAUGCUGUAAAAUUUUUAUCAGUAUCAUACUUUAUAUAUUAUUAGGAUU
rnacentral:lncRNA from 1 species